AUACGGAGGGUGCAAGCGUUAUCCGGAUUUAUUGGGUUUAAAGGGUCCGUAGGCGGAUCCGUAAGUCAGUGGUGAAAUCUCAUAGCUUAACUAUGAAACUGCCAUUGAUACUGCGGGUCUUGAGUAAGGUAGAAGUAGCUGGAAUAAGUAGUGUAGCGGUGAAAUGCAUAGAUAUUACUUAGAACACCAAUUGCGAAGGCAGGUUACUAUGUCUUAACUGACGCUGAUGGACGAAAGCGUGGGGAGCGAACAGGAUUAGAUACCCUGGUAGUCCACGCCGUAAACGAUGCUAACUCGUUUUUGGUGUUUCGGAAUCAGAGACUAAGCGAAAGUGAUAAGUUAGCCACCUGGGGAGUACGAACGCAAGUUUGAA
rnacentral:rRNA from 1 species